rnacentral:rRNA from 1 species
GACGAACGCUGGCGGCGUGCCUAAUACAUGCAAGUCGAACGCUUCUUUCCUCCCGAGUGCUUGCACUCAAUUGGAAAGAGGCGUGGCGGACGGGUGAUUAACACGUGGGUAACCUACCCAUCAGAGGGGGAUAACACUUUGAAACAGGUGCUAAUACCGCAUAACAGUUUAUGCCGCAUGGCAUAAGAGUGAAAGGCGCUUUCGGGUGUCGCUGAUGGAUGGACCCGCGGUGCAUUAGCUAGUUGGUGAGGUAACGGCUCACCAAUGCCACGAUUCAUAGCCGACCUGAGAGGAUGAUCGGCCACACUGGGACUGAGACACGGCCCAGACUCCUACGGGAGGCAGCAGUAGGGAAUAUUCGGCAAUGGACGAAAGUCUGACCGAGCAACGCCGCGUGAGUGAAGAAGGUUUUCGGAUCGUAAAACUCUGUUGUUAGGGAAGAACAAGGACGUUAGUAACUGAACGUCCCCUGACGGUAUCUAACGAGAAAGCCACGGCUAACUACGUG